GACGAACGCUGGCGGCGUGCUUAACACAUGCAAGUCGUGCGGUAAGGCCCUUUCGGGGGUACACGAGCGGCGAACGCGUGGGUAACACGUGAGCAACCUGCCUUCCACUUAGGGAGAACUAACGGGAACAAAGGCUAAUAAAGAACAUAACUUCCUCACGCAUGUCGGGUGGUGGAAAGCCUACGGGUGGUGGGGGAUGGGCUCGCGGUCUAUCAGCUUGUUGGUUGGGUGAUGGACGACCAAGGCUUCGACGGGUAGCCGGCCUGAGAGGGUGACCGGCCACAGUGGGACAGAGAGACGGCCCAGAGUCGUACGGGAGGCAGCAGUGGGGAAUAUUGGACGAUGGACGAAAGCCUGAUGCAGCAACGCCGCGUGAGGGAUGGCGGCCGUCGGUUUGUAAACCUUUUUCGCCUGCGACGAAGCGGGAGUGACGGUAGCUGGUAAAGAAGGACCGGCUAACUACGUG
rnacentral:rRNA from 1 species